UACGAAGGGGGCUAGCGUUGUUCGGAAUUACUGGGCGUAAAGCGUACGUAGGCGGAUUGUUAAGUGAGGGGUGAAAUCCCGAGGCUCAACCUCGGAACUGCCUUUCAUACUGGCAAUCUUGAGUCCGGGAGAGGUGAGUGGAACUCCUAGUGUAGAGGUGAAAUUCGUAGAUAUCAGGAAGAACACCAGUGGCGAAGGCGGCUCACUGGCCCGGAACUGACGCUGAGGUACGAAAGCGUGGGGAGCAAACAGG
rnacentral:rRNA from 1 species